UAGGGAAUCUUCCACAAUGGGCGCAAGCCUGAUGGAGCAACGCCGCGUGAGUGAGGAAGGCUUUCGGGUCGUAAAGCUCUGUUGCCAGGGAAGAAUAAGGGUGUGUUAACUGCACAUUCGAUGACGGUACCUGAGAAGAAAGCCCCGGCUAACUACGUGCCAGCAGCCGCGGUAAUACGUAGGGGGCAAGCGUUGUCCGGAAUUAUUGGGCGUAAAGCGCGCGCAGGCGGUCUUUUAAGUCUGGUGUCUAAGUGCGGGGCUCAACCCCGUGAUGCACUGGAAACUGGGAGACUUGAGUGCAGAAGAGGAGAGCGGAAUUCCACGUGUAGCGGUGAAAUGCGUAGAGAUGUGGAGGAACACCAGUGGCGAAGGCGGCUCUCUGGACUGUAACUGACGCUGAGGCGCGAAAGCGUGGGGAGCAAACA
rnacentral:rRNA from 1 species